UCCGAUGAUGGCAUGAAAUCUUUGAGACCUGAUUGUCUAAUUUGAUGACAAGUAUAAGCAUAACUUCUGAGGAC